rnacentral:tRNA from 3 species
GGGCCCAUAGCUCAACGGUUAGAGCAGCAGACUCAUAAUCUGUUGGUUCCAGGUUCAAAUCCUGGUGGGCCCACCA